ACAAAGCUGCUGUGGAAAGAACUAAGGACAAAGAAAUUUCCCUUUGGCAGAGUAAGAGUCCAUGGAGCCCCAGAAGCUGCUGAGCAUUGUAUUUCUGUUGUGUUCACUGACUUGCUCCUUGUUGGCGACAGCAGCUUCCCCUCCUUCGCCAUUAUAUGAUUUUGGAAUUCAAGAAAACGCAGGACUGAAACCACGCUCAAGGGGAGACCAGAGGUCUUGGCUGAGCGACUUCUGGGAUUACCUGUGGGACCUCAUCAUGAGCUCCAUACCUCCAGCAGCCAUUUUUGCUUUUCUUAUCACCGUAGCACUAAUGGGGACCCUCUGUUGCCUAACUAAGGAUUGCAAAUAUCCUCUAUGCUCAUCUCUACACUAGCUUAUUACCUGAGGCAAUCAUCAUGGAAACCUGGAUAAUCUCCCAGUACUGUAGAGGCAGAGGACUGACUGGCACUAAGAAUACAAAAAUAUACAUACAAGGAAAUUUUAGUAUUGUUUAUAAUAUUGAAAAAAGUGGAGACAACUUAAAUGUCUG
rnacentral:lncRNA from 1 species